UCCCNGAACAGAUGGAGCAAAGACCUCAU
rnacentral:piRNA from 1 species